rnacentral:rRNA from 1 species
UACGUAGGGUGCGAGCGUUGUCCGGAAUUAUUGGGCGUAAAGGGCUCGUAGGCGGUUUGUCGCGUCGGGAGUGAAAACCCGGAGCUCAACUCCGGGCCUGCAGUCGAUACGGGCGGACUUGAGUGUUGCAGGGGAGACUGGAAUUCCUGGUGUAGCGGUGAAAUGCGCAGAUAUCAGGAGGAACACCGGUGGCGAAGGCGGGUCUCUGGGCAACUACUGACGCUGAGGAGCGAAAGCGUGGGGAGCGAACAGG